AUGUUCAGAGGCAUUGCUAAGAAAGAAAGAGCAGAGCUCUUCCUAGGCCAUGGCGAGUUCACCUUUCCAGGUGUAUGCCAGAGCAUGAAGCAUGGUCAACAAGCACGGGGUAGCAGCAGCUGGAAACAGGGGAAGCUUCCACAGAGCCCCCCGCUGGAGUCCCAGGGUGAUGAGCUGAAGCUGAUUUGGCAGCAUGAAAGGUGGUUUUCCGGGUGUGUGCCGUAUAGGGCUCAGGGCUGUCACUGGGGUUGCUUUCACAGGACCCCCCCAGCCCAGCUCAGGACCCCCGGUGAGUCUGUGGGUGACAAAUGUGUCACUGAGAGACAGCAUCAGGGUGGGAAUGCGUGGACCAUAGCGCCCAGGGCAGAGCCAAGCGGUGCUGGGGGGGGGGUCAGCCCCAGGAGAAAGUCUCCCCCACGGAGAAAUGGAUUGCUUAGCUCCCCACUAAGCUCCCAUUGCCUCCCAGUAUUGUCUAGAGUCUUCUUGUGCAAACUCAGUGCCCCCCAGUGCUGCCUGUGGCCCUCAAUAGCCUCCCAGUGCCCUGCAGUGGGCUUCCCAGUGCCUCCAGUACUGCCCAGUGCCCCCAGAGGUGUAGGAAAGCGAACGCCAUACGUUUAAUAAUUUAACGUACAAAACAGCAAAUAAAUGAUGAUAUUCCCAACCAUUUCCCACCCUAACAAUUGUUUCUGAUCCCACCCCCUACAAUUCCCACCCUCUAAUCAAUUUCCCACCCCGCAAUCAAUUGCUCACAACCCACCCUCCUCCCCCCCCCCCGCUCCCUCCCACCAAUAGUUCCCUCCCUCUGCAGAAAACCUCCCAGCCCCCCAAAUUCCCACCCCAACAAUUCCUUCCUCCAAAUUCCAACAACUUGGGAGUGUAACGUGAUCAGAGUACAAUUUCUCCCCCAGAAUUGCCACCCCACAGAAUUCCCUCCCCCUCCCCCCAUCUUCAAUGCCAGCAGUUAC
rnacentral:lncRNA from 7 species